rnacentral:rRNA from 1 species
CACGUAGGCACCAAGCGUUGUCCGGAUUUAUUGGGCGUAAAGAGCUCGUAGGCGGUUUGUCGCGUCUGCUGUGAAAACCUAAGGCUCAACCUUGGGCUUGCAGUGGGUACGGGCAGACUAGAGUGCGGUAGGGGUGACUGGAAUUCCUGGUGUAGCGGUGGAAUGCGCAGAUAUCAGGAGGAACACCGAUGGCGAAGGCAGGUCACUGGGCCGCAACUGACGCUGAGGAGCGAAAGCAUGGGGAGCGAACAGG